UACGAAGGGGGCUAGCGUUGCUCGGAAUUACUGGGCGUAAAGCGCACGUAGGCGGCUUCUUAAGUCGGAGGUGAAAUCCUGGAGCUCAACUCCAGAACUGCCUUCGAUACUGGGAAGCUUGAGUUCGGGAGAGGUGAGUGGAACUGCGAGUGUAGAGGUGAAAUUCGUAGAUAUUGAGAGGACGUCCUAAAGGCAGAGGCUACAAACUAUAAUGUUUCUGACACUGAGGCACGAAAGCAUGGGGAUCAAAUGGG
rnacentral:rRNA from 1 species